rnacentral:rRNA from 1 species
GACGAACGCUGGCGGCGUGCUUAACACAUGCAAGUCGAACGGUGAAGCGCCUUCCUUUUUGGUGGGUGUGGAUGAGUGGCGAACGGGUGAUUAACACGUGAGUAACCUGCCCCCUUCUUCUGGAUAACCGCAUGAAAGUGUGGCUAAUACGGGAUAUUCUGGGUCUGUCGCAUGAUGGGUCUGGGAAAGAUAUUGUUUCGGUGGGGGAUGGGCUCGCGGCCUAUCAGCUUGUUGGUGGGGUGAUGGCCUACCAAGGCGGUGACGGGUAGCCGGCCUGAGAGGGUGGACGGUCACACUGGGACGGAGACACGGCCCAGACUCCUACGGGAGGCAGCAGUGGGGAAUAUUGCACAAUGGGCGCAAGCCUGAUGCAGCGACGCCGCGUGAGGGAUGGAGGCCUGCGGGUUGUGAACCUCUUUCGCCAGUGAAGCAGGCCUGCCUCGUUUGUGGGUGGGUUGACGGUAGCUGGAGAAGAAGCGCCGGCUAACUACGUG